AAAAAAAAACCUUUAAACAUUUUUAGGACAACAGUAGCAUGAGUAGCACUGUCAUGACUGUGGAAACAAAGUUACAUUCCAAGAUUUUGUCAAACUGCCAAUAUACAAAAGAUUUUUUAAUAUUACAAAUAAAAAAUGAUAUAAUGCCAGAUACAAUAGAAGACUUUAGAAUUCAUGCAUCUUCACAUAAUUUCCAAACAUCAAAAUGCUUAUGUUUUUGUUUUAUGUGUCACAGUAAGAAAUUAUUGUUUAUGCUGAUUGUAACUCUUUCAUAAAAAAAAAACAACUCAAGACUUGUGAAUCAUGUGAAUUUCGACAGCCAUGACAGAUAGAGUGUAAUGCAUGUAAAUUCAUUAUUAUUCAACAAAUCGAUAGAGAAACUGAUUCAAAAUUUGGCUAACAGAAAAUUGAACAAAAAAAAAAAUGAAAAAAAAAACCCAAGA
rnacentral:lncRNA from 1 species